rnacentral:tmRNA from 1 species
UUAACGCGAUUCAACCUUAAUAGGAUAUGCUAAACACUGCCGUUUGAAGUCUGUUUAGAAGAAACUUAAUCAAACUAGCAUCAUGUUGGUUGUUUAUCACUUUUCAUGAUGCGAAACCUAUCGAUAAACUACACACGUAGAAAGAUGUGUAUCAGGACCUUUGGACGCGGGUUCAAAUCCCGCCGUCUCCAUAU